AACGCUAGCUACAGGCUUAACACAUGCAAGUCGCGGGGUAACAUCUGGUAGAGCUUGCUCUUCCAGGAUGACGACCGGCGCACGGGUGAGUAACGCGUAUCCAACCUGGCCCAUACCACGGGAUAGCCCGUCGAAAGGCGGAUUAAUACCGUAUGCUGUCAUUAAGAUGCAUAUAUUGAUGACGAAAGGACUGGCGGUAUGGGAUGGGGAUGCGUCUGAUUAGCUUGUUGGCGGGUAACGGCCACCAAGGCGACGAUCAGUAGGGGUUCUGAGAGGAAGGUCCCCCACAUUGGAACUGAGACACGGUCCAAACUCCUACGGGAGGCAGCAGUGAGGAAUAUUGGUCAAUGGGCGCAAGCCUGAACCAGCCAAGUAGCGUGAGGGAAGACUGCCCUACGGGUUGUAAACCUCUUUUGUUUGGGAAUAAAGUGCGGGACGCGUCCCGCAUUGCAUGUACCAUUUGAAUAAGGACCGGCUAAUUCCGUG
rnacentral:rRNA from 1 species